rnacentral:rRNA from 1 species
AGUGAACGCUGGCGGUAGGCCUAACACAUGCAAGUCGAACGGCAGCACAGUAAGAGCUUGCUCUUACGGGUGGCGAGUGGCGGACGGGGGAGGAGUACAUCGGAAUCUACUUUUUCGUGGGGGAUAACGUAGGGAAACUUACGCUAUUACCGCAUACGACCUACGUGUGAAAGCAGGGGAUCUUCGGACCUUGCGCGAGUGAAUGAGCCGAUGUCGGAUUAGCUAGUUGGCGGGGUAAAGGCCCACCAAGGCGACGAUCCGUAGCUGGUCUGAGAGGAUGAUCAGCCACACUGGAACUGAGACACGGUCCAGACUCCUACGGGAGGCAGCAGUGGGGAAUAUUGGACAAUGGGCGCAAGCCUGAUCCAGCCAUACCGCGUGGGUGAAGAAGGCCUUCGGGUUGUAAAGCCCUUUUGUUGGGAAAGAAAAGCAGCAGGUUAAUACCCCGCUGUUCUGACGUUACCCAAAGAAUAAGCACCGGCUAACUUCGUG